UAUUUAGAUCUAAGAUUCGAGUAUUCUAGAUCUAGAUCUAGUAAAAAUUAAUCUAGAUCUAUCUAUUAACUUUAAGAAAUAGACUAGUUAAUUUUGUUUAGGGCCUAGAUCUAGUUACAAUAGGCCCCUAAUGUUUAUUAUUUUAUUUUUGCAGAAACUUGCAUUCUAUUUCAUCCAAGGAGUCUAGAUCUAGUCUAGAUCUUGUAAAAAUAGCAAGACUAACCCAGUGUAAGGAGGAUUGCUAAAGUAAUCAGAAAGUUGAUGGCUGAGAUAAAGCGGCUGAGGAGAACAGAGGCUUGUGAGUGGAUUAGGUUGGUUGAACUUGUGUACAGCCCUAUCUAUGUUCAAUGCCUCAGGUGGAAGUACAUUUAGUACAGUUUUCAUGGAGAUCCAGCUUUUAUUCAAGGCUCAUCUUAAAGAGAAUGAUGUGGCUGCUGGGACAUAACUAAAAUCUACAUUCAACUGCUUGCAGAUCUCAAGAAGCCUGGGGUUCUCGUGCAGCACCGCAAGCACUCAGGCUGAUUAAGAAGUUAAUUUCUGGCCCUUUGAUAAAGAUCAUUUACAAUAACGCAAUGUGGCGAUCAAAUGUACUCUGUUUCUUAAAGUCAUGGAAGCGUUGUUGACUUCUACUGAGCCUUUCUUGGUGCGACAGCUGGAGAGGUAUCUGAUGGGAAAUCUGAUUGGUGUCCAGCUGACUCAUAAGUGGGAGCAAGGUGAUCAGGGUGUGUCGCAAUACAGUGGAAGGACUAUUGAAAGGGUGCCAGCAACAAAACAAAAGUCAGCUCUUUACACCAUAAGCUACUGGGCAGAUGAUUAGGAUAAUGCUGAGAAUCUGUCAUCUGGCAGAAUCACUGGUUGUUGACUUGCUUUGUAGGAAUCUUGUUUUUCUUACUGAAUAAUUGCUAAUCAAGAGUUACAGAGUACUUCUUUCAUUUGUAGUAUACAAAUUAACUUUAUUUUUUUAACAUUAGUGUUUUUAUAAGUUGUUACUGAAAAAAUGUUUGCUGUGAAUUGUAAAAAUUUUGAAAACUAACACUAACAAUGUUUAUAAUUAAGUUUUGUUUUCAUAAUGUAAAAAAAUAAUUACAUUUUAAUUACGUAACUUAUUUUUCAGGGUAAUUUGAAUCAGCAAGAUAAUCCUAGAAUCAGUAGUUACGUGCUUCAAAAAUGUUGGUCCAAACUAAUUUAAACUAUUUUCUUUUUCAGUUUGAUCACUCAAGUAGUAACGCUUUUUAAAAAUUUAUUUCUUUUCCUUUUAUGUGCUAAUUGAAAUUUUAUCUAAAGAUUAAUUACAAUUGAUACCUUAGAAAAUUGUUUUAAACACUAAAGUAAUCCAAGAAAUUUGUUGUCACUAAUUUUUUUUUCCCAGCAUACACUCAAGGCAUGGGUGUUUAUUCCUUGAUAAUUAAUACUAUUUUUCUUCUUAAAAGGGAUCGUAAUGAGACGAGGCUGAUUUCUUGUACUGUAGAUUUGUUUCUUCACACUAAUUAUGAUUAUGUAACUGUUUUACAUUACUAUGUUGAUUGUAGAUUAUACAAAGGCUAAAUUUAGGUUGUCGCUAUGUAAUUUAUUUCUUUGCUCUGAUAAACAUAUUUUUAAAUUAUUGCAAAAAAAAUUUUGUUUUUUACUUUGCCAUUCUCGUAAAUGUUUCUAUUUUAUUAGACAAAAUCAAAAUUCAUGUGGUGAUCUGAUAACUGUAUUUUAAUAAUUUAUAUUUCUUUUAGCAAACAUUGAAAUGUCUGUAUUGUCAGUAUUGUUACAUUGAAUUAUUUACUAGUAAUAAAUAAAUACUGGUACACACUU